rnacentral:lncRNA from 1 species
GAGAAGCCGCAUCAACCAUACUCAUGAAAUGGCCACAGAUGAUAAGACGUCCCCAACACUGGACUCUGCUAAUGAUUUGCCUCGAUCUCCUACUAGUCCUUCUCAUCUCACACACUUUAAACCUUUGACUCCUGAUCAAGAUGAGCCCCCUUUUAAAUCAGCUUAUAGUUCUUUUGUAAAUCUCUUUCGUUUUAACAAAGGCUGGAGUGCAAUGGCACAGUCUUG